rnacentral:rRNA from 1 species
GACGAACGCUGGCGGCGUGCUUAACACAUGCAAGUCGAACGGAAAGGCCCUGCUUUUGUGGGGUGCUCGAGUGGCGAACGGGUGAGUAACACGUGAGUAAACUGCCCUUGACUUUGGGAUAACUUCAGGAAACUGGGGCUAAUACCGGAUAGGAGCUCCUGCUGCAUGGUGGGGGUUGGAAAGUUUCGGCGGUUGGGGAUGGACUCGCGGCUUAUCAGCUUGUUGGUGGGGUAGUGGCUUACCAAGGCUUUGACGGGUAGCCGGCCUGAGAGCGUGGCCGGCCACAUUGGGACUGAGGUACGGCGCAGACUGCUACGGGAGGCAACAGUGGGGAGUAUGGCACAGUGGGCGCAAGCCUGAUGCAGCAGCGCCGCGUGCGGGAUGCCGGCCUUCGGGUUGUGAACCGCUUUCGCCUGUGACGAAGCGUGAGUGACGGUAAUGGGUAAAGAAGCACCGGCUAACUACGUG